AUUGAACGCUGGCGGCAUGCUUUACACAUGCAAGUCGAACGGUAGAGGGGCAACCCUUGAGAGUGGCGAACGGGUGCGUAAUGCAUCGGAACGUGCCCAGUAGUGGGGGAUAGCCCGGCGAAAGCCGGAUUAAUACCGCAUGAGAACUGAGGGUGAAAGCGGGGGAUCGCAAGACCUCGCGCUAUUGGAGCGGCCGAUGUCAGAUUAGCUAGUUGGUGGGGUAAAGGCCUACCAAGGCGACGAUCUGUAGCUGGUCUGAGAGGACGACCAGCCACACUGGGACGGAGACACGGCCCAGACUCCUACGGGAGGCAGCAGUGGGGAAUUUUGGACAAUGGGCGCAAGCCUGAUCCAGCCAUGCCGCGUGCGGGAAGAAGGCCUUCGGGUUGUAAACCGCUUUUGUCAGGGAAGAAAUCUUCUGGGCUAAUACCCUGGGAGGAUGACGGUACCUGAAGAAUAAGCACCGGCUAACUACGUGCCAGCCGCCGCCGUAAUAC
rnacentral:rRNA from 1 species